CAGGAAACCUAACAGCAACCUUAGAAGAAUAAAACAUUAUAGGUGAAAGAUGAUACACAUUGACAGGAAAAUGUGCAAGCAACCACAAUUACCACUGCAGCUUAUACUAAUAGCUCAAGCCUGCAUCCCAGAUUACACCAACAGCUUGCAGCAGAGACAUCGGGCAGUUGGCUGCAGCCCAGUAGGAAGUGCAGACUGUGGCCUUUUUGUGGGUGCUCCUCAGUAAGGACUAACCAAGGAACUCUCUGGCUUUGUGGCUGCAAGGCCUGCACCAUUCCAGUCCUGCAAUACCAAACCUCUGAUGUGUUACUUCAGGCACGAGCAACCACAGAGCUGAACAGAGACCCACCACCGGCUGGGGAGGGCAGGGACCUUCGUACCUACUUGUUCAUGAUCAUGUUUCCUCUUUGGGAAUUCCUGCUGGUUUGGAGGUGUUUCUGAUGCUCUGCACCUCUCCAAGCUAUGUCCUACCGACUAUCCAGCCGGCAAUCAAGACGUGGUGGUUAUUCUCCUGAACAACCUGUUCAACAGGUAUCUCAGUUGGAUGGAGCCCCAGUUACUGCCAGGAUGCUUUAGUGCAGCGGUCGCGGCUGUAUGAAGACACAUGGAGGUAAGAGCCACCAGGUAAUUCUGUGGGAUCCCAGGGAUGCUCUGGGAAGCCAGGAAUGCUAUGGAAUCCCAGGGCUCCCACGGGUGCUGUGGCAUAGGCAGUAUCACAGGAAGAGUUUGGGGUUCCAAAGACGCUACAAGAUGAGUGGGACACGGGAGUGCCGCGGGACCCCCGCCUGCGUGCACGGUGGGAUGCCGGCGGUGCUGCGGCUGA